GCAAAGUGUACAUGCAGAAAAAACAUUUUUAACAUGUUCAAUAUACCACAAAUCCAUCUUCUUGACGUUGUUCUUGUAAGCAUAACUUGAGUUACAAUAACGAGUAACAAACUACAGAAAAGAAAAAAACAGUUCCAGAAGUAAUUAUACUUUGGUCAUUCAAUUGAACAUAUUGGGAAGUGGUCUGACAGCCAUGAAAGCAUCUACCAUCUCAUCAGUCACUGCUGCCCUAGCCCGUCGAUGUCUUUCAACUAGAUCUGUUAGUACUUCAACUAGCCUCUUUUUAAUUUCACCUGUCAGCAUACGGCCCGAACCAUACUCCUCUCUAAUGUGUUCCAUCUCUGCAUCAUCGUCCAGGAAAAAGCCAAGAUAUUUAAAUGGUAUAUCAACCUCCAGGUUUGCUCCGUACUUCCUAUGCAACUCAAUUGAGUCUCGUCCACCUGAGAAUGCAUAUCUGUUUAUCUUGUUUUUUAUCUCUUUUGCUGAAUCAGUCACAUAAAUGGCAGAAUUUGGAUCACUAGCAGACAUUUUUCCAUUCUCCCCCUGAAGCGCAGGAAAGAAUGAUGAUUCAAUCAAAGCAGGCUUGUGAUAGCCUAUCCGGGGAGCAACAUCUCGAGUCAUUCGGAAAUAUGGAUCCUGGUCAAUGGCACAUGGAAUCAAACAGCGAAUGUUCUCAUUGCCAAAGAUAUGAGGAAAUGAACUGGGAAAGGAUGGCACAGCCUGGACUGGUGGAAAACUAACUUUCCCAAUGUGAUCUUCACCUGUGAAACCAAAAAUACCAACAACCUUAUUGUAUGUGACACAUUUUGCAACCCUGACCAUGUUCUUGUAAAAGGCGCCACCAACAUAGUCAAAAUCAGAGAAAAUAAACGUCUUUGAAAUAUCAAAUCCACAAGCAAUAAUGUCUUUAGCAUUCUCACGAGCAAGUCUUUGGCUUUCUUCCACUGACAAAUUCUUCCACAUACAUUUCUCAUCAUCAGUCAACUGUAUUACAAGCGGCACCUUAAAAGCAUCCUGCAAGUACUUUGUAAACAUGAAAGGGAUAAGAUGACCCAAAUGCAAAGCUUCAGAAGAAGGUCCUCUGCCAGUGUACAAAUAAAACUUCUCCCCUUUCUCAUAAGAAUCCAAUAUAUCAUUAAAAUCACGAUGAGCAAAGAAAACUCCACGGCGAAGGAAAACAUGAGGUGCCCGAUUCGUAAGACGUUGAACUCUCUGAAUUAACGACUCGUCAAGCCUCUGGCAACCAAAUUUGUCGAUCAAUUUGUCAUAGUCAAUCUUCCCGCCGUCUUUUGCUGAUACCUCCCAUGGGUUCACUACUUGCUCCUCUUCUACCUCUUUGCUUUUAUCAUCCUUCAGCUCCGUUUUCUCCAUUGACGACGACUUCCUACGAGCUAAUGAGAUUUUCAGGGGACAAAAUGAUUUUCCGGCACCGGCGACGACUUGCGGCGAGGCCGGCGAGUUUGAGGAUUUUGGAUUCAGA
rnacentral:misc_RNA from 1 species